rnacentral:rRNA from 1 species
AUUGAACGCUGGCGGCGUGCCUAACACAUGCAAGUCGAGCGGUAACAGGUGUAGCAAUACAUGCUGACGAGCGGCGGACGGGUGAGUAACCGCUUGGGAAUCUGCCUAUUAGUGGGGGACAACCCGGGGAAACUCGGGCUAAUACCGCAUACGCUCUACGGAGGAAAGCCGGGGACCGCAAGGCCUGGCGCUAAUAGAUGAGCCCAAGUCGGAUUAGCUAGUUGGUAGGGUAANGGCCUACC